rnacentral:lncRNA from 1 species
AAGACGCUCGCUGAUGGCAUGGCGCCCAACGCCCGCAGCAGCGCCUGGUUCGCGCGCGGGUCAGAGCGGCGGCGGCGGAGGUGGAGCUCCGUCGCGGAGGUGCUUCGGUGCGUGGUGACGUCCAUGCGAUGAGUUCUCGAACUCGCCACUGCUCUCAUCCUAGGCGGCUGGGUCGGAGGAGAUCCGGACAGACAACGCAAGUGCGGACGGCGCUCCGCUGGACGCGAGGAAGAAGACCCGGCGCACGGCUAUGAGCUGCUGCUGGAAGUCCAAGCUGGACAGCCGCGUGGCAAGACAGGCUGGCCUGACAGUGGGCCCCAACAGUCAGAUUCGGGGUCAGACGCUAGCGAGCGAGGGGUUACGAUAAUCCGGUGAUUUUCAGCAAUACUAGUUCAUGUUUAUAAGACAGAACAAAAUUUGACAUUCAAAGUCAGAAUAGAUACAUGCAUAUUUGGAAAAAUUUAAGUUAAGAAUUUAGAAUAAGAGGGAGUAGCUCUUAAGCAAUCCUUACGGAGAACACGAAUGCAAAAAUAUGACAAAAACAAAAAAAAAUGCUACUCCCUCCAUUUCUAAAUACUUGUCGCUGUUUUAGUGCAAUAUAGCAAGCUUCUGCCGUGCAUGCUUAAUGCUUUACCCCUCGCUGCAAUUAUCCUUGUGUCAGCCUGUCAGGUUGCUCUACAUCGUAUAGAAUGGCCUGCCGCCUUGGCCCUCCACAAGCUAGCUCAUUCACUUUUGACUUCUAUAGGAGAUUAUCAACCACGCGCCGCCUGCACGAGCCGCCUCCCACUUGAGCGCGUCGCCUCCAGCAGUCCAGCGAACUGAAUCAAGGCGGAGGAGUACCAGAAAGACCGAGACGACAUCAAAUC